rnacentral:rRNA from 1 species
GCUGGCUGGACAGGUCCAUUGGGAAAUCCACUGCUUAACAGGUGGGCGUCCAGUGGAAACCGUCUAGCUUGGGACCGGGAGACGUGAGGGGUACGUGCAGGGUAGGAGUGAAAUCCUGUAAUCCUGGACGGACCACCGGUGGCGAAAGCGCCUCUGGAGAACGGAUCCGACAGUGAGGGACGAAAGCUAGGGUCUCGAACCGGAUUAGAUACCCGGGUAGUCCUAGCUGUAAACGAUGCUCGCUAGGUGUGGCACAGGCUACGAGCCUGUGCUGUGCCGUAGGGAAGCCGUGAAGCGAGCCGCCUGGGAAGUACGUCCGCAAGGAUGAAACUUAAAGGAAUUGGCGGGGGAGCACUACAACCGGAGGAGCCUGCGGUUUAAUUGGACUCAACGCCAGACAUCUCACCAGCUCCGACAGCAGUGAUGACGAUCAGGUUGAUGACCUUAUUCGACGCUGCUGAGAGGAGGUGCAUGGCCGCCGUCAGCUCGUACCGUGAGGCGUCCUGUUAAGUCAGGCAACGAGCGAGACCCGCACCUCUAGUUGCCAGCAGCAUCUCGCGAUGGCUGGGUACACUAGGGGGACUGCCGUCGCCAAGACGGAGGAAGGAACGGGCAACGGUAGGUCAGUAUGCCCCGAAUGAGCUGGGCUACACGCGGGCUACAAUGGCCAGGACAGUGGGACGCGACGCCGAGAGGCGAAGCUAAUCUCCUAAACCU